ACCUGGAACAGAACGGGAAGCUGGAUCUCCGCACUCUAACAUUCUUUGCUGCGGAGAUGGUAUGCGGACUGCAAUAUCUGCACUCGAGAGGAAUUAUUCAUCGAGACCUGAAACCCGAAAACAUCCUUCUGGACAGCACAGGACACCUGAAGAUCGCCGAUUUUGGACUGGCGUUGGAGGGCAUUUUCGGCAAAACAAAAGCAAGAGGAUAUGCUGGAACAUUAGGC